rnacentral:lncRNA from 1 species
CAGUGAUCUGGAAGCCAAACCCUGGCUCCUUGCCACCUCACACACUCCCUUCAUUGACAUCCUACUGGGUCCCCUGAAUCGGGAUCUCAACACCCCUUCUUCCUAUAUAGGAAGGGACUGGGUGCAGGGGUUGAAGAUUUGGGUCAAGAUUAGGACUAAAUGUUAGGUCUAAAUUAGGAUUUGAAGUUGGAAAUCUAGGAGAGGAUUAGAGAUUGGGCAUACUGAUUAGCAGGUUAGAAAUCUAGACUUAUUGAGGUUAGAGGUUAGGCCCAAGUCUAGAGGUAUCUGGUGGUCUGCUUGAGGUUUGAGAAUCUGGCUGAAGUUAGUUUGAAGAUUAGAGCUAGGGAUAGGUUUACAGGGUUUGGGCUAGGGUAUACAGGGCUGGGUCUAAGAGUGGAGCUGAAAUAGGAGGGAAGGAGCUUCAGACACUACCCCUCUUUCUUAGAUCUGGUUAGGGGUUAGUUUUAUUGAUAUGGUCUUGGGUGGUCUAGAGGUGUUAGGGUUAAAGCUGGAACCAGGCUGGGCAUGUUUUCUAGCCUAGCUAAAUGAGUGUCUAACUCUAUUUGCAUCAUGAUCAUAUUAAGGUUUUCACUAAGUUUAAUAGCAGGUUAACUGAAUUAGGGUUAGAGUGGAAAGAGAUAUAGUUCAGGUCACCUAAGGGGGACCACUGGACAGAGAUGGGAUGUUAGUCCUUAAGAAAAGGUGAAAACAAGCUCUGAUCUUCCAUCUCUCUUAUCCCUCCCUGUCCUGGAUCUAUCAAAUCUCCCAGAAUGAGAAGUUACAAGAGGAGAAUGAUGUCCUGAGAUCCACUGAAGAGGUACUGCUCAGGGACAAUGACAAGAUUAAAAAGAAAAUACUGAAGCUUAAGGAACGCCACGAAUCUCUGCAAGACGAUAUCUACACGCUGGAGGAACGUCUGUGUUCUUGCACCUGCCCUGAGAACCGAUCGAACCACGAACACAAAGAGAGCAAAAGGGCUGCGAACACAGGGCGGCGGCUCCCGUGAGUCCCCGAGGCCGGAUGCACCUCCCCGUCCCCCCACGGAAACCGACCCCCUCUGGGGUUCAAUAAACUUCUCUCCGGGGCUGGGAACCCCUCUGAU